GGGAUACCUACUCUCGCUGCAGCUAGAAUGCAAAGAUGGUCUUUGAUCUUGUCUGCAUACAAGUAUGAAAUCCAGUACAAGAGAUCAGAACAGCAUGGAAAUGCUGAUGCCUUGUCGAGGUUACCCAUGAACGAUGAUAAUGCUAUUAGGUCUAAUCCAGUGUAUAGGGUGUCUUAUCUCGAAGAAUUACCUGUCACUGCGAACGAAAUAGCACAAGAAACGGAGGCUGACCCUGUGCUCAAAAGGGUUAAAGAACAUGUAAUGUGUGGGUGGUCAAAGCAUAUAUCUGAAGAAGUACUAAAGCCAUACUUUUCCAAGAAAUUUGAACUUUCCGUGGAAAAUGGUUGUCUUCUUUGGGGGUAUCGUGUAGUGAUACCUGAAAAAUUGCAUGACAGAUUACUGGCAGAACUUCAUGACAGUCAUUGGGGUAUGGUAAAGAUGAAAUCGUUGGCUAGAAGUUUUUUUUGGUGGCCUGCCCUUGAUAUGGACAUUGAAAACGUAGUUAGUCAAUGUGACGUGUGUCCGCAACAGCGUAGCAUGCCUGCUCCUGUUCCUGUACAUACAUGGAAAUGGUCAUCGGGACCCUGGGAGCGAAUUCACUUAGAUUUUGCUGAGGAUCACCAGCAGUUGUUUUUGGUAGUAAUGGAUGCUUAUGCUAGAUGGCCUGAGAUUGUUCCUAUGCAAUCAACUACUUCAGCAAAGACGAUCGAAGUGCUGAGACAUUUAUUUGCGGCUUACGGUCUUCCUCAGGAAGUAGUCACUGAUAAUGGACCCCAGUUUACGUCCCGAGAAUUUGAACAAUUCUUACUGCUGAAUGGGGUCAAACAUACUAAAUCUCCUGCGUAUCAUCCUGCCUCAAAUGGGUUGGCUGAAUGGUUGGUGCAGAAUUUAAAAAGAGCACUUGCAAAGAAUAGAGCGGUUGGGGGUAAAACACUUCAACACUGUGUUGCUAAUUUUUUGUAUAAUUACCGCAACACGCCUCAUAGUGCUACUCACAAGACACCAGCAGAGUUAUUCCUCAAGAGAUCAGUUCGUACGCGAUUGUCUCUGAUCAGGCCACACUUUUCACAGGCUCUGAAUUGUGCGAGCCCUGCUAAAACUGAGGAACCCUGUAGAGUCAGGACCUUUACUGUUGGGCAACAUGUUUUGGUAAGAAAUUACAGGGGAGGGGAGAAAUGGUUGCAUGGUGUCAUUUCAAAAGUGCUGGGUCCAGUCACUUACAUGGUUGAUGUGAAUGGAAACUGUGUAAAGAGACAUGUGAAUCAGAUGCUGAGUAGUAAAUCUAGGUGUGACAGGGGUAAUGUUGAACAUGGUCAUGUUCCUGACAAGGGAAGGAACUGGGUUUAUGAUGAGAUUGACAUGGAUGUUAAGGGGGGCAGUGAAAUUGUCAUAUCAGAAAGCACUGCGACUGAUUCAGAGACACAGUCAACACCUGAAGCAGUGCCGCUCUCAUCAGCAGCAUCCUCAUCACCGUCCAUCCCCACUGAAAGUGUUUUUGUGAA
rnacentral:lncRNA from 1 species